GUGGGGAAUAUUGGACAAUGGGCGAAAGCCUGAUCCAGCCAUGCCGCGUGUGUGAAGAAGGUCUUCGGAUUGUAAAGCACUUUAAGUUGGGAGGAAGGGCAGUAAGUUAAUACCUUGCUGUUUUGACGUUACCGACAGAAUAAGCACCGGCUAACUUCGUGCCAGCAGCCGCGGUAAUACGAAGGGUGCAAGCGUUAAUCGGAAUUACUGGUCGUAAAGCGCGCGUAGGUGGUUUUGUAAGUUGGAGGUGAAAUCCCCGGGCUCAACCUGGGAACUGCCUCCAAAACUGCAUGACUAGAGUACGGUAGAGGGUAGUGGAAUUUCCUGUGUAGCGGUGAAAUGCGUAGAGAUAGGAAGGAACACCAGUGGCGAAGGCGACUACCUGGACUGAUACUGACACUGAGGUGCGAAAGCGUGGGGAGCAAACAGGAUUAGAAACCCUGGUAGUCC
rnacentral:rRNA from 1 species